UCCUACGGGACGCAGCAGUGAGGAAUAUUGGUCAAUGGGCGGAAGCCUGAACCAGCCAAGUAGCGUGCAGGAUGACGGCCCUACGGGUUGUAAACUGCUUUUAUACGGGAAUAACGCGCCUUACGUGUAGGGCUUUGCAUGUACCGUAUGAAUAAGGACCGGCUAAUUCCGUGCCAGCAGCCGCGGUGAUACGGAGGAUGCGAGCGUUAUCCGGAUUUAUUGGGUUUAAAGGGUGCGCAGGCGGUCUGUUAAGUCAGCGGUCAAAGCCCGGGGCUCAACCCCGGCCCGCCGUUGAAACUGGCAGU
rnacentral:rRNA from 1 species